GGCCUGGUCGCUCGCUGCCCCUGCGAACCUGCACCUUCCGCGGCAGUGUAUCCUUCGGGGACGCCGGUCUGCCCCUGGGCGUUGGGGCUUCCGGGCUUGGAGGUUCCCCGAAGGCCUGCCGAGUCCCGGGCGCUGCAGUUCACAAGAGCUGGUGCCGCCAGUAAUUCUUCCUCAGCCGUUAGGAUGCCCCAGGACGGGUGGUUUGGCGGUAGGAGGCUGAGGCUAGUUCCUCCUCUGAUUUUCCUUUCGGCCCGGCAGCCGGGAUGACCGACGGAUUUCCUCAUUUACUACAGGGGUCAGUUCAGUGAUGCCAGAACAACAGAGAGUCCUGAGUAGGUAAAGGGAUUGAAUAUAUUUGACCGGAGCAAUCUACCAACUUCUUGCUGGAUUUCCUUGAGAUUCUUCUGUCUGAAUGUCACAAAAGCCACGUAGGAAGAAAAGAAACAACACAUUGGAUCAAUUGCUGAACUACAGUUCCCAGCAUUCCCCCUUCCAGUACGACCAAUGAUGGGAGAUAUUAGGAGCUAUAGUUCUGCAACUUGUAAAGGAUUCACAUAACUUUUCCUUUACCCAUCAGACCACUACAAAGAUCCCUUACUUUCUCAGGAUGCUGGGCUUUCUGUUUGACCAAAAAAAUUAUAAAAGAUAAAGAACUUUGUAAUUUAUUUCUGUCCUGGGCUACAUUUUCUUGAAAGUAUCUACAGAAAGUUGAAUGCCUAUUGACUGAUAGGUGAGAUAGAAACAACUGACAAGUGGAGCCAAGCAAAAGGACCCCCAGGCCUAAUGACCCAACCAAGUCUUGAGGGACUUCCAGAACAUCAAGAGGGAUGGCGCUAACCUAAUUUCAGUGGGGAGAAUAUUCCAUAAGGCAGGCACCACAGCAAAGAAGGCUGCCACCAUUACCCACCAAAUGUAAGUCCCUGGCAAAUGGCAUCCACAGCAUGUCUUUUCUGCUGGAUCUAAUGGGGCAAGCUGAUGUAGUUAACAUCCCUGAGAGCCAGCUUCUGCUCAAACACAUUCAGAGAACCAGAGUUCACCACUUCUCUGUCAGUAAUUGGUUCUGUGUUUAUACAACUGUAGCCCUUAAGAUGAUUCCUUAAUAUUCAACUAGAAGUUGACUUCUUGUAAUGGUAGCUUAAGAACAAUAUUUGGUAUCCUGAACUUAUUCCUGUUUGUCUAACAACUUAAAGCUGGAAGAGUUGAACAUAAUACCUGAACUGGAGGACCUUCAGCCUUGCUUUAAGUUAUCCUUAAUAUUUCAGGGAAACAGCCAGGUCAUAAUGAGUUAUUCCGUUUUGUAUACCAGCAAUAAAUAUUCAGAUCCAGAUACUGGCUUGACCAGCUUUAAGACAGGAUUGGGUACAUUAUACCAAUUUUCAAAGUUGUGGUAGGAGAAACUUCAAAAGGACCAAAGGAUAGAAAGUGGGAGAGGCAGAACAUUAAGAGGUGUUGAAUCAAGUAUGUUAAAGAAGAUGCUAGAAAUGCCUGAAGAAAGAAUGAGGUCAUGAAGGGAUGGGAGGAUGAAAACUAUAUGGGUGGAGCUCCAGGAGGCACUGUGGGACUUCAAAAUACACAGCUUUAGCCAGCAAGUCUAUAAUGAAAUCAUCAAGCAAAGAACACCAAGCCUGAAAGCCUUUUAUAAUUUAACUACUCUCUCUGUUAUAAGAUGACCUAUUGCAUAGAACUGUUGUCCAUAUAGCUCGAUUCUGCUGUCUUCUCUGACUGGCAGUGGUUCUUCAAGGUCUUGGAUUAAGACAUCUUUCCCAGAUGGUGAUUUUUUUCAAUUGGCACUACUGAGAUUUAGCAAUAGAAGAGAA